ensembl:processed_transcript Hoxaas2 Hoxa cluster antisense RNA 2
CUCUUAAUGUCCAGCCCGGGACCUGCGCCCCUGGCCCAUUGUUAGCCGGCUUUUCCACGGCAGCUUUGCAUCUGACUCCUGCGGGCAGCGGAAAACGAGAGGCGGCUCUCGAAGCCUGCUGAUCUUCCUUCGCCAUCAACUUCUCAGGAGUGGCUGGAGAAAGAUAGAUGCAUGUGCCAAGAGAGACAGCAGCCCCAGGUCCUUGUGUCCAAAUCCCCGUAGCCUGGGCGGCGGCCAGCCAAAACAAUGCCGUCCCGAGCAGGCUCGUGCGGCUCCUGGCACUCUGGGUUUCAUACCCGUAGGGCUCGGGUGCGGCCAAAAGAGAGCACGGAUCAAGAGCAGGACGAAUCAAGAGCAGGAGGGUAGACGACGACGUGGGGAAAGCUCCUUUGGCGUGAGACUCCCAGCGUUCUGCGGCAGCCUGCUUUUGUAUCCUCAAGAUUUUCCUAAACCGUGAAAAGGGCUCCUAAACGCUGCUCUCUGGGACUCAGCAGAGAGGAAAUAAAUCCACAGAAUGGCAGAUGCUGAAUUCCGGGAGGAAUUUGAUGCUGAGAUUCAUGGAAGGGAUUCCUUCCAAUACAAGGAAGACCUGGAGGACUAUGAAGCUCAGUCCUUUUUCUGGAGACCUAAGGGAGAGUAGGUCCCUUUUGAGGUGAAUUUAGAAGAGUCCCGUCCCCCCCAUCUUCUUUAGGCGUGAUAAUGAACCGCGAAGCAUCCUCAGUGGAGACCUGGAAUUCGAUAGCUUGUGGGAAGAGCUUAAGACCUUGUGCGGUUCCAAGGUUGAGGCCUUGGCCGAUGGGCUUUCGGUGCGGGGGAAUGGAGAGGAGCCCCGGGUUCUUGGUGUCGGCGUCCCGCACCUGUGCGCCCCCCGCUGAGCCCGAGGCCGGCCGCCUUUGUUUCUGCCAGGCCGCUCUGCACUUAGCAGCCUGGCGCCCUGCUUGGGCGGCAGCUGGGAACCAGGCAGCUCAGCGGGCCGGGAGCCUGGCAUUUCCCGAGCUGCGGCAGCCACUUGAAACCGCGGCCUCUAUCCCCAGAACUCGCCGAGCUUCCAAGGCAGACGCUGGACCAGGCCUCACGCCAGAGUCGCGGUGCUGCCGCAGCCGCUGACAGUUCGCUUCUGCCAGAACUCCACGCAGAGACCCGUGUCCAGCCAAAGAACCCCCUUUGACACGGAUCGUAAUCAGAAUAAAAACUUUAUUUUUUUGUUUUGUUUCUCAGAAUGUGAGCAGCAAGGAAUGUAAAACUCUCAAAACAAAUCUAGCAUUUUUAGCGUUCAGUUUGGCCAGAUGUUACAAACCUAAACCACUAUUUUCAAACUCUGGGUCCUCUCUGUUCUUAUUGCAUUGCUACGGUUUUUAAUAAAGGAAUUUUAUUUCCCUUUCAAAUAAAUUUUAUAUGUAUGCCAAUACACCAUUGAACAAAAGGCUCAAGAAACCUUCUGAACAAUCAGGGUACAGAAUUUCUUUAAUAUAAAUACGAACGGAUGGGGAUAAAUAAUAUUUAAAACUUAGACUAUUCAAUGCUUGCAAAAAAUAUAAAUAAAUCUGACUGUUCACAAGCACACAC